rnacentral:rRNA from 1 species
GACGAACGCUGGCGGCGUGCCUAAUACAUGCAAGUCGAACGCAGUGGGGACGGGUGAGUAACACGUUGGUAACCUCCCAUCAGAGGGGCUAACACUUGGAAACAGGUGCUAAACCGAUAUUGAAGGAUGGCCCCUCGGUGCAUUGGCUAGUUGGUGAGGUAACGGCUCACCUGGGCCACGAUGCAUAGCCGACAGGGGGGGGUGAUCGGCCAAAGUGGGACUGGGACACAGCCCAGAAUGCUACGGGGGGGGGCAGAGGGGAAGAUUCCGAAAUGGAGGAAAGUCUGACGGGGAAACGCCGCGUGGGUGGAGAGGGUUUUCGGAUCGUAAGACUCUGUUGUUAGAGAAGCGGUAUCUAACCAGAAAGCCACGGCUAACUACGUGCCAGCAGCCGCGGUAAUUC